UAACCGCUGGCGGCGUGCUUACCACAUGCACGUCGAACGAAGUUUUUCCUUCGGGAGCCCCUUAGUGGCGGACGGGUGAGUAACGCGUGGGUAACCUGCCCUGUACAGGGGGACAACAGCUGGAAACGGCUGCUAAUACCGCAUAAGCCCUUAGCACUGCAUGGUGCAUAGGGAAAAGGAGCAAUCCGGUACAGGAUGGACCCGCGUCUGAUUAGCCAGUUGGCAGGGUAACGGCCUACCAAAGCGACGAUCAGUAGCCGAUCUGAGAGGAUGUACGGCCACAUUGGGACUGAGACACGGCCCAGACUCCUACGGGAGGCAGCAGUGGGGAAUAUUGCACAAUGGAGGAAACUCUGAUGCAGCGACGCCGCGUGAGUGAAGAAGUAUUUCGGUAUGUAAAGCUCUAUCAGCAGGGAAGAAAAUGACGGUACCUGACUAAGAAGCACCGGCUAAAUACGUG
rnacentral:rRNA from 1 species